UUUGUUAAUCACAAGUUGAACCUGUGUCAGCAAUAUGAUGCAGCUGCAAAACAUGAAUCUGAUUUUAGGAUGCAUUAAUCAAACUAUAGUUUCCAAGUCACAAGAAGGACAUCAGAGAUCUCUCAUCUGAGCUCUGCACUUUCAGAGAGGAAGCUGACAAAAUUUGCAAUGAAGGGCAAUGAAGGGCAAUGAAGAUGGUCAUGGGACUGGAAAAGAAGCCUAUACGGAGAUGCUGAAAGAACUAGGCAAAUCCAACCAGUUCUCAACCAAAUCAGCGAAUAUAUUGUCACCCAGGACCAGAGGCUGUCGAUUCCUGCUCUGAGACAUCAGUGAAGAAGUCCAGUCAUUGGUCUCAUCAGAGAACUGGCAUUCUCUGCACCCUGACUUGCUCUCAGACAAGCUGCUUGUGUCUUGGGAAAACCAGCUUCUAGCCAUGUGCUCACUGGAAGACUCAAAUGUCCUUGGUGAAUGGUACUCUGCUGUGCUCACGGUUGACGAAGGCCCACUGCCAUGAUAGUAGUCCUCACUGCUUAUGCUACUAAUGGAUGAAGCCAUGUCCCCAUGGCUACUAUCUGGCAAAGUAAUGUGGUAAAAUGGGUGGGUGGACUGUGACACCGGAGAGGAGCACAAAAAUGCUGAAGAGCUGCAGUCCUCUAAAGAACUCUUUGUCAGCAGUUUCUCAUUUCUCCAGCCAGCUUCAUGCCUGGGCCUUGGCACCUCUUGACUGCUUUGACAAUACUGAUGCUGGCCAAUUCCUGAAACCUGGUUUUGGCUGCUUGAAAUCUCCAGCUGUUCCAAGGCUGUCUGGACCUGGAGGAGCUUCAGCUCUUGCAGAGCACCCAUCAUGCAGUUCAUCUGUUCAUGCAGCCCGUCCCCAACCUCUUUCAUGGAUACCUGUUGGGAGGGAAAAAAAUGUUACUGAAUGAGUGCAGGAGAGGAGGAGGAAGGAGCGGGAUACAGGCAGGUUUCACGGAAAUAACAGAAAGAGAAGUGAACUCUGUUCUCUUCCACUCAUAUAUUAUACAACAGAGUGGAUUUCCUUUCAAUUUUUUUUUAAAGAUUGACAGUCAUAAACAUUUAAUUAUAUGUUUCUAGUCAUAGAUCAUGAUUUUAUUUUUAAAACAUUAGUUUGUUUUAGAAGCAGGAAAAUAAUAUAAAUAAAACAUAUCUGAAAUGA